UCCUCAUCUUCUUCUUCUUCUUCCGUCUCUUCUUCUUCUUCUUCUUCACCAUCUUGACAGGAAGCAGUGCUCGAAGUGCUCACCACUUCCUGUGUGGUGUGAUCUGAGUCGGCCUGAUAACCGACAGGCUCG